rnacentral:pre_miRNA from 1 species
AAAACAUUCGGACCGUCGGUCUACCGAGCAAUUUCGCCAGCUCGAUGGAAGAUCUUUCCUUUGUCGU